GAUCAUGGCUCAGGACGAACGCAGGCGGCGUGCUUAACACAUGCAAGUCGAACGGUAAGGCCCUUCGGGGUACACGAGUGGCGAACGGGUGAGUAACACGUGGGUGAUCUGCCCUGCACUUCGGGAUAAGCUUGGGAAACUGGGUCUAAUACCGGAUAGGACCACGGUCUGCAUGGAUUGUGGUGGAAAGCUUUGCGGUGUGGGAUGGGCCCGCGGCCUAUCAGCUUGUUGGUGGGGUGAUGGCCUACCAAGGCGACGACGGGUAGCCGGCCUGAGAGGGUGUCCGGCCACACUGGGACUGAGAUACGGCCCAGACUCCUACGGGAGGCAGCAGUGGGGAAUAUUGCACAAUGGGCGCAAGCCCUGAUGCAGCGACGCCGCGUGGGGAUGACGGCCUUCGGGUUGUAAACCUCUUUCAGUAGGGACGAAGCGUAAGUGACGGUACCUAUAGAAGAAGCACCGGCCAACUACGUG
rnacentral:rRNA from 1 species